rnacentral:lncRNA from 1 species
AGAAAAAUAACUUAGUGGCUUAUAAGCCUGACAUAACCUUGAUAAAGAUAAGUUAAAAAAAAAAAAAGACUGCAUACAAAUCUUUCCCAUAAACAUAGGUACAAAGCCCUAAACGGAAUCUAGCAAUAUAUAAAAGGUCGUUUUUAUAACCAAAUACUUAAUAGAAGUCAUCUUACAAACAAAUUUGGGAUCCAGUAGGGAGAAACAAAGAACAGUGGGAAAGGAUUCUUCCUGAAGAUAAAGGGAAAGGAGCCCGAGUUUUGCUGGAGAGCUGUCCUAGAAGUCCUUGCUGGUUUGUGGGUGACAGGUGAGGGGAAAGCCUGAACUUGUCUCCCCUACAGCAUCGCCAGGGAGCAGAGUUGAUGACUGACAUCCAGAAGGUCGGGUCACCUCAGGUCUCCUCUUGAGAUGUGGAGAGUCAUGCUGACCCUGUGUAUCCAGAAGCCAAGACCUGAUAAUGGGACAUGCCUUCAGGAUGUGGUUGUGGCCAUCUGCUUCCACUGGCCAGUCCUCGAUGACCAGCUUCAUUCUAGCUUGCUGUCGCAGCACCGGGGCGGCUGCUCUGGAAUCCCAUUCCUCCUGCAGGG